UACGUAGGGGGCGAGCGUUGUCCGGAAUCAUUGGGCGUAAAGAGCGUGUAGGCGGCUAGGUAGGUCCGUUGUGAAAACUCGAGGCUCAACCUCGAGACGCCGAUGGAAACCAUCUAGCUAGAGUCCGGAAGAGGAGAGUGGAAUUCCUGGUGUAGCGGUGAAAUGCGCAGAUAUCAGGAAGAACACCCGUGGCUAAGGCGGCUCUCUAGUACGGUACUGACGCUGAGACGCGAAAGCGUGGGGAGCGAACAGG
rnacentral:rRNA from 1 species